rnacentral:rRNA from 1 species
UACAGAGGGUGCAAGCGUUGCUCGGAUUUACUGGGCGUAAAGCGUACGCAGACGGUCUAGCAAGUCGGGAGUGAAAGCCCUGGGCUCAACCUGGGAACUGCUUUCGAUACUACUAGUACUUGAGUUUGGGAGAGGAAAGCGGAAUUCCUGGUGUAGAGGUGAAAUUCGUAGAUAUCAGGAGGAACACCAGCGGCGAAGGCGGCUUUCUGGCCCAAUACUGACGUUAAGGUACGAAAGCGUGGGUAGCAAACAGG